AGUGCAUAAGUGAGUACGUGCAAUGAGAAAAACUACACAUAUGGAAACGAGGUGCAUAAAGAGAAAAGUGUGGUGCAUAAAGUAAACGCAUCCUACCGUAAAAAAAAAAGAAAUUAAAGGAGUGGGGUGUGUGCUUAGUAAAAACGCAUGUAAAUAAGGUAAAAUAAAACUUAAUGUAAGGGGUGUGUGGUGAUUACAUUGGGGAGUGCAUGAAGUAAAUAAAUACAGAACCCAAAUUAAAAGUAGGGGUGCACAAAUUAAAUUAUGGAGGUGCGUGAAGAAAAAUGAAUCUCCCAACCCUAAUUAAAAGCAUCUUUCGAGACUAACACCCAAAGUUCAUCUUCUUCCUUCUACUAACGGCCACCACGCAAGCACUAACGUUGCCCAUCCCGUACGAGGCCGUCGGUAACACUGCUCACAACGACACGACUCACGAUGGGACCGACAACCAUCUAUGCCACCACACCAUCAUAUGCGGCCACCAUUCAACGUUCAUACUUAUAGUUAGGUCAACAACGACUCGACUUUCGAUGGCGUAGGCCAUCCCCAUCACGCCACCACUAAUAGUGGUGCUAGCCACUCCACUUCUAAUUUCUCAGUCAUGAAAUCCCAACACACAACAACCCCCUCUAGUUCGUUCUUACAUUUUCGUUGUCGAAAAUGCUUGCCAGUGUUGCCACGGUUUGCUAUCACAACCGCUGUCAGCGUCUGAACAGAGCCACUGCAAUAGUCUUUUCUCUUGUGAAGCAUCAAAUGAAGAAAAUUUGCAAUUCAUGCAAUUAACGCACAACAAUGAUAAAGUGAGCCAAGCAUCGUAGCAAAAUUUGAAUAUUGUUUACCUUAUUUAAUGUCUCAGUUUUGUGUUUGCUACCACUUUUACCCCCCUGAAUGUUCUUUAUAUCUUCUGUUGUAAUUCUGGGUUUUAUGCUCUGCCCUUUGCACUAUUGCUAUCUCCGUGAACGAGGAUAGAGAUGAUUGUAAGAUCCCGUUUUGUGAAUGAAAGGGUACUUCGUGAAUGGAAA